GCCAGGCGUUGUGGCGGGCGCCUGUAGUCCCAGCUACUUGGGAGGCUGAGGCAGGAGACUCGCUUGAGCCCAGGAGUUGGGAGGUUGCUGUGAGCGUGAUGCCAUGGCACUCUACCCAGGGGGAUAGCUUGAGGCUCCGUCUCAAAAAAAAAAAAAAAAAAGAAUAGGGUUAACCUUCCUUCCUUCCUUCUUUUCUUUUUUUUUUUUUUUGAGGCAGAGCCUCAAGAUGUCACUGGGGGUAGAGUGCUGUGGCAUCACAGCUCACAACAACCUCCAAUUUCUGGGCUCAAGCAAUUCUCUUGCCUCUG
rnacentral:SRP_RNA from 1 species